rnacentral:rRNA from 1 species
GUACACUCCUACGGGAGGCAGCAGUGGGGAAUAUUGGACAAUGGGCGCAAGCCUGAUCCAGCCAUGCCGCGUGAGUGAUGAAGGCCCUAGGGUUGUAAAGCUCUUUCACCGGUGAAGAUAAUGACGGUAACCGGAGAAGAAGCCCCGGCUAACUUCGUGCCAGCAGCCGCGGUAAUACGAAGGGGGCUAGCGUUGUUCGGAUUUACUGGGCGUAAAGCGCACGUAGGCGGACUAUUAAGUCAGGGGUGAAAUCCCGGGGCUCAACCCCGGAACUGCCUUUGAUACUGGUAGUCUUGAGUUCGAGAGAGGUGAGUGGAAUUCCGAGUGUAGAGGUGAAAUUCGUAGAUAUUCGGAGGAACACCAGUGGCGAAGGCGGCUCACUGGCUCGAUACUGACGCUGAGGUGCGAAAGCGUGGGGAGCAAACAGGAUUAGAAACCCUAGUAGUCCCAUG